CUAAAUUCAAAGAGGCUUUGUGGGAGCUGCUCCCCGGAUGUGGGGCUGAGUGGGGAACGUGCAUUGCAAGGUCUCUCAGGUUCAGUCCCAUGAAACAUCACACUCCAAUCUGAAAGCAGCAUUCAUCGUUUUAGCUUUUGCUUAUGGGAAAUCUAGAGGAGAAUUUGGGUAUCUUAUCUGAAUAAUUCAGUUAAAGCACAGCUCCUGACUGAUGGCAGAAAAACACUUGCUGAUCAUCCACAUAUUCCAAACCAAUGAAUAAAUGCUAGUAAAGCAAUUUCUGUGCAGUCCCCCAUGACCCAGCAAGUAAACCCUUCACAGGCACAGGAGGCACAAAUGCUUCCAGCUUUACUGCCAGCAGCAGAGUAAUUACCUGGGGCUGUGUCCUUUUAUUAAAGUGUUAAGGAAAUAGAAUUAAAAUCAGACAUUUUACUGAACAGCAGAGCACUGAAAGGGAAUUAACAGAGCUGCUCUUCUUGGCUGGGAGAAGCUUUCUCUUCUGCAACUUCUGCAAUCUGGAAAAGCCUUUUGUACUUCUCUGGAAGAAGCAAGGGAAGCACUGCAGUAAACUGUGUGCAAGCUGGCUGGGGAGAUGAACAGAAGCAAGGGGUCUUUCCAAACCUUUCAGGAAGCACCAUAAAGUAUUUACCAGCAUUUCUGAAUCGACUUCAGAGAGCAAGCUUGUGUGAAGAACUGGAGCAGCUCAGUAUCGGGAUCUUGAUUAUGCACUAUUCUAUGAGAUGCAGGAAAUGUAGCCUUGGUGCACACCGUUCAGAAGGUGGCACUGUGGUGCUGAUUCAGUUCUUCCCUGGAAGGCUCAAAAGAAAGAGCAACUUGCAAUGCAUUCAAGUUUUAUUGAUUUCC
rnacentral:lncRNA from 1 species